rnacentral:lncRNA from 1 species
CUCCAUUGUUGUUGAAGGAUAGAAGCUCAGCAAAAACCAGAGGAACCGAGCAGCACCAGCCCCUCCAUCGUCGCACGCCCGGAAGGCCAUCGUCGGCCGUUUUCCUCCUCUGUUUUCUCCUCGUUCCAGUUUCUGCUCCAGCCGACCUUUCGCCAAAUAUUCGAGUUAAAAGUCGACUUCCUGGAUGAAUCAGCGAACGCUCCACCCACUUCCGUGACGAGGACAUCCAGCCCGUUCCGGAGCAUCCCACCGCUCGCCGGAACGAUUCUCCGGUCGUCCCGAAAUCCUGAGAGAAGCUGCCGCUCGCCGGACCGUCUGGUUCCGCCCUGCUCCGCCUGUUCCGCGUUUUCUUGCUGUUUCGCCCCUUUCCGACCCUUCCUUUGCCCAUCCCAACAUCCUAUAAGAUCCCCAAGACCCCCGGGAGCCGCCGGUUGCCAACCACCCGCUUGCCGGAGCUUCGAUCGGCCCGUUUUCGCCGUUGAAGUUGCUGGUUUCUUCUCUGCAGUUCAGCCCAGAUCAGAAGCAGAAAACCAGAAAGCUGUGAGGUCUUCGAGGCCCGUUUUAGGUGUCUUCCCGGCCUUGGUUGGUGUCGCCGCCUUGAGGUUUAUCACCCGCCUUGGCGUCGUGGUCGCCGUGAACUCACCGGCGCGCAAAACCGGUGAGUUUAUCCUCUAAUUCUUGCUUAGUGAGUUAAUGACGCUUAAGGGGUGUUUAGAUUAGUCUAAUUAGGUUUAGGUGGUUAGAUUAGAUUAUUUUAAUGUAAAUUAGAUUAGUUGUAUGAUUAGCUUAAUGGAUGUUUAAUUAGGGCUAAUUGUAUGAUUAAAUUAGUGUAAUCUUGUUUAAGCCCUAAUUAAUUAUUUUUAAUUAAUUAAUUAUUUCGAAUUUAUAAAUAUUAUUUUAUUAAAUUAUAUUAUUAUAAUAUAAUAUUUAAUUAUUAAAUUUUCGGAAUUAAAUUUAAUUAUUUAAUAAUUUCGAAAAUUAUGCCGGGAUGGCCGGUCAUUAGAAUUUCGCGCUGAUCGCAGCAGUGCGGUCGGUUUGUGUUAAUUGUAUGUUUAAAUUGAGAAAUUGAGUGAUUGAUGAUUAUGGUUAAUUAUUCCAAAAGUGUGGAAUUUAGUGAUAUUGAUGAAGUUGUGGUAUUUAACUUGAAAAUACCCGGUGUUGGCUUUUAACACCGUAAUUGGUUUGUAUGACCAGUUUGAAUUGAUUGGAUUGAUUGAUUGAUUGAAUUGAGGUAUGAGUUGGUUUAUUAUUGAAUUAUCAUCUUUGGCAAGCAAUUGGUUUAUAUAUGUAUCAGCUUGUGUGAGCAUCAUUGUCAGCUUGUGUGAGCACUGUAUGUCAGCUUGUGAGAGCAAUGAUCGUUUAUCAGCUUGUGAGAGCAACGAUCUAUCUAUCAGCUUGUGUGAGCUACCAUCUAUGUAUAUAUCAGCUUGUGCGAGCUACCAUCUAUAUCAGCUUGUGUGAGCCGUGAAUGUAUUGAUGGAUGAAUAGAUGGUAUGGUUUAAUAGAUGGUAUGAAUUGAUAGAUAUGUGGAUCGUAUGAUAUCAAUUGGAUUGACUGAAUUGAUAGACCGAUGGGUAUGUCGGUAGUUUCAGCUUGUGCGAGUAUUGUUGAAUAUGAAUUGUACUGACGUGCAGGAAAGGGACUGAGGCGAGGUAAGCCCUCUAUCCUAUUUGUGUGGCUAGAGCGCCCUGAGGCGUAUUUUCUUCCUAAUUGAGUUUUAGAUGGUAGGACUCGCUGAGACGUAGUCUCAUCCCGGUUGUGGGAUAAUAUUUCAGGUUCCUAAAUGACGGUCGUGGAGGACCGGAAGUCCUGGAGUUGGGAAGGUGGAGGCUGAAGAAUUGGCGAAUGUGUCUGACAAGUUGGUCAUAGGACAGUUCCCUUUUUGUUGAGC